AGGUCCCGCCUGCCAGUGAAAUUUUAACGGCCGCGGUAUUCUAACCGUGCAAAGGUAGCGUAAUCACUUGUCUUCUAAAUAAAGACCAGUAUGAAUGGCUAAAUGAGGACAGGCCUGUCUCCUACACCCAAUCAGUGAAAUUGAUCUUCUGGUCCAAAAGCCAGAAUAAUCCCAUAAGACGAGAAGACCCUGUGGAGCUUAAAAUUUAAUGCUACUUAAAAACUAACACUAAUUUUAAGUUGGGGCGACUUCGGAACAAAAUUAAACUUCCGAGCGAGGAGCCACCCCCUCCUAAUAAGGCCCACACGCCGACACACCAGACCCAGUCAUACUGAUCAACGAACGAAGUUACCCCAGGGAUAACAGCGCAAUCCCC
rnacentral:rRNA from 1 species